AUGAACGCUGGCGGCGUGUCUAAGGCAUGCAAGUCGAACGGUUUUAUGCAGCAAUGCAUAAGAUAGUGGCAAACGGGAGAGUAACACAUUGGCAACUUACCCAGAGGUCGUGAAUAAUUCUGCGAAAGCGGGACUAAUACACGAUGGUAGUGGGGGGACACAAGUCAUUCCCACUUAAAGUUUUAAUGCCUCUGGAGGGGCCUAUGUCCCAUCAGCUAGUUGGUGAGGUAACUGCUCACCAAGGCGACGACGGGUACCGGGUGUGAGAGCAUGGCCCGGCUCACUGGGACUGAGACACUGCCCAGACUCCUACGGGAGGCUGCAGUCAAGAAUAUUCCUCAAUGGCCGAAAGGCUGAAGGAGCGACGCCGCGUGUAUGAUGAAGCCCUUCGGGGUGUAAAGUACUUUUCUCUCCGACGAAACAAUGACGGUAGGAGAGGAAUAAGGGGCUGCUAACCUCGU
rnacentral:rRNA from 1 species